CCUAACACAUGCAAGUCGAACGGUAACAGGAAGCAGCUUGCUGCUUCGCUGACGAGUGGCGGACGGGUGAGUAAUGUCUGGGAAGCUGCCUGAUGGAGGGGGAUAACUACUGGAAACGGUAGCUAAUACCGCAUAAUGUCGCAAGACCAAAGAGGGGGACCUUCGGGCCUCUUGCCAUCGGAUGUGCCCAGAUGGGAUUAGCUUGUUGGUGGGGUAACGGCUCACCAAGGCGACGAUCCCUAGCUGGUCUGAGAGGAUGACCAGCCACACUGGAACUGAGGCACGGUCCAGACUCCUACGGGAGGCAGCAGUGGGGAAUAUUGCACAAUGGGCGCAAGCCUGAUGCAGCCAUGCCGCGUGUAUGAAGAAGGCCUUCGGGUUGUAAAG
rnacentral:rRNA from 1 species